rnacentral:rRNA from 1 species
GCUGGUGCCAGCCGCCGCGGUAAAACCAGCUCUCCGAGUGGUCGGGACUUUUAUUGGGCUUAAAGCGUCCGUAGCCGGCUCAACAAGUCCCCUGUUAAAUCCAACGACCCAAUCGCUGGACUGCAGGAGAUACUGCUGGGCUAGGGGACGGGAGAGGCCGACGGUAUUUCCGGGGGAGGGGUGAAAUCCUAUAAUCCCGGGAGGACCACCAGUGGCGAAGGCUGUCGGCUAGAACGCGCUCGACGGUGAGGGACGAAAGCUGGGGGAGCGAACCGGAUUAGAUACCCGGGUAGUCCCAGCCGUAAACGAUGCGGGCUAGGUGUUGGGGUGGCUACGAGCCACUUCAGUGCCGCAGCGAAGGUAUUAA